rnacentral:rRNA from 1 species
GAUGAACGCUAGCUACAGGCUUAACACAUGCAAGUCGAGGGGUAACGAGAGGAAAGCUUGCUUUCCUUGUCGACGACCGGCGCACGGGUGAGUAACGCGUAUCCAACCUGCCCCCAACUAAGGAAUAACCUUGCGAAAGUAAGACUAAUACCUUAUAAUUUCCUCAGAUGACAUCUGACGAGGAAUAAAGAUUUAUCGGUUGUGGAUGGGGAUGCGUCUGAUUAGCUUGUUGGCGGGGUAACGGCCCACCAAGGCAACGAUCAGUAGGGGUUCUUAGAGGAAGGUCCCCACAUUGGAACUGAGACACGGUUCUAAUACCUACGGGAGGCAGCAGUGAGGAAUAUUGGUCAAUAGGCGAAAGCCUGAACCAGCCAAGUAGCGUGCAGGAUGACGGCCCUAUGGGUUGUAAACUGCUUUUAUACAGGAAUAAAGUUAGCCACGUGUGGUUAUUUGUAGGUACUGUAUGAAUAAGGACCGGCUAAUUCCGUGCCAGCAGCCGCCGUAA